rnacentral:rRNA from 1 species
UACGGGGGGGGCAAGCGUUGUUCGGAAUUACUGGGCGUAAAGGGUUCGUAGGUGGCCGACUAAGUCAAACGUGAAAUCCCUCAGCUUAACUGGGGAACUGCGUCUGAUACUGGUCGGCUCGAGUGCAGGAGAGGAACGCGGAAUUCCAGGUGUAGCGGUGAAAUGCGUAGAUAUCCGAAGGAACAUCAGUGGCGAAAAGCGGCUUCCUGGACCAGAACUGACGAUCAGGCACGAAAGCGUGGGGAGCAAACAGG